CUUGUUGCCAUGGUACGGUCGUUCACUUGACCUUGUUGCUAUGGGGAUGACGUUUGAUGGAACUGGCAGGCGCACAGGAGUGAUGCAUUAUUAGCUUAAUUAGCUUGCUCACUAGCUAACAAACGAAAUAGAACCGAAAUGACAGGCUGUAAAAAAUACAGAUGAAAUGGGAAAAGCAUACAGUAUUGAAAUGUGUUAAUUCAGCGCAAGGCGGCGCUGGCUGUGCAUUUGUUCUGAAACCCAAAUCACCCGAGAAACAGAGCCGGAGUGAUGGGAUUAAACUCGCAGAGCUACGCAAGGGAACGGGCAGGGCAGCGAGUGCAGCUGGAGAGCUCCCUGUGUUCCUCCUCUGACUGUAUUCACAAUCUCUCCUCUCCUGCCUAUGUUAACCUCCUACAACACCCUGUUUACUCCUGUAUCUAAAAAUACAUGCCCCUUGCUCACCUGCGGCCACUCUCCAUCCAAAAGCAUAAUCUGUGCUCCAUUCCGUCUUACAUACACGUCUUACCAGUGGACUACACCUCCUUUUCUCUUUUCUUGUAGGCAGUCAUUUCUGUCUCAAUACACUUUUUAUUAUACAGAAGAAACCUAGAAUUUUGGUCUCAGGACUGUGAUGUAAGCUGAUGUAAAAUCAUUAUACUUGUAUAUCUGACUAUAUUCAAUGGAUACACAAUAGUGUUGCAGCCCCCAAUCAGGGCAAGACGAGUUGUCUCGCAUGCCAGGAUGAAGUGGAUAUUUUAUACUGCCUUAAGUGAAACCACACCUUGUGCGAUGUGCUUUUGUUCCCAGGGCUGGGUGUGUAAUUUAAGCUUGCCUGGAUGUUCUGUUAUGACCAUGGAAUUUAUCUGUUCAUCAACAUGAAAAUUAAGUGAACAUUUUAUUUUGUAUUUUAAGAAUCAUGUUUUGCCAUUGGUGAACUUUCAUAACUGCUUGUCAUAUGACAAAGAAAAUUCUUUUCAAAAAAACCUAAUUUAAUUUGUAAUUUUAAACUUUUAAUUGGACAAUUUCCAAACUAAAAGGGCGUACUUCUUUCAAAAUACUUUGUCAGGACAGCUAUAGGCUUCCUUUAUAUCUGCAGUAAUUCAAAAGAAAAAAAUCCACAAUACACUUCAUAUUUUCUUCGGCAAAAAUGGGCUUUGAUUGAGAGCAUACAGUGAAAAGGGAAAUUAUCUUGGCUCUGCCUCAGUUGAAUUAAGUGUGAAGUUUGUGCCACACAUGAGGGAUUAUUGGGUUUGCCCGCCUGUGGUCAUGUUAUUGGAACACUAUUCCCAUUGUGUAAGCUUACUGCGUGUAUGAAUUUUUCUAUCACUGGGUAUCGACUUCCUGCUCCUUCCACUUAGCUGAGUGUAGCACAUCAAUAGAGGCUUGUUCAUCCUACCGAGGAGAUUUGAUUAGGAAUUAUUACAGGAAUUAUUACAGCUAACUGAGACGAAUGGGAUGCUAUUAUGAGACGGCGGGCUGAGAUCUCGGGCGCCGUCCCGCCGCCUGAAACCCAGCGGAUGAGCCGGCGGUCGCUGUCACCUGCGGCGGCGGAGACUGAUGGGAGAAGUUUAAGUUAACAGAUGACUACAGUCAGCAUCCUCGCAACCUGGCGACGGGGACGUGAAGGUCAGCCGGCCCCGCCGAUGACAGCGAGAACAUUUGUUGGUAAACAAAUUAAUCUUUCCAAAGGUCGCCAUUUGUUUCGGAGUCUUUUCUCCCCCCACCCCCCCCCCCCUCUUUUUCUCCCCUCUCCGUCCCUCCCCUUUCCUGAGCGUCCUGUCCCCUUCUUCCCCCCCGCAUCCUGAGCCUGUCAGGAGAAAUGAGGCGGAGGCUGUCAGUGGCGUCCGCGGGGCGACGCGCGCGCCGGCUGCUGGCCCGCCGAGCCUGCAGAGCCGCAGAUUGCAGCGUAUCAGCAUUCUUCAAAGGGAGCGGGCGCCUGAUUGCUACGCUAUGGGCUGGUGGUUUACAGCUGUCUCAGGACAAGAGUAGGUACCUGGCCCUGCAUGCCAAUAGGAUGGGUGCACGCUUCCCCAACUGGCGCCCACUGGCCCCUUGCCCACCGCGGCAUCAGCCAGCCUUCGCUUCAGCUGCCUUCUGUACCGGAGGAAAGCAACUUUCACGCUCCCCCUUUUCUUUUUUUCUGUUUUUUACAUUUUUGUCAUUUUAGUUUUCGGUGGUGUUUUAUUUUUUUUUCCGUCUCAACAAUCCGUAAAACAGAUGUGCGCCUUUCAGGAAAAGACAAACAAAAAAAAAACAAAACAAACGAGGCAACUGGCGAGCGCUGCUGCUCUGUUACGCAGCCUGACAGCCAGAAAACAAACGAACAAGCAAAAAAAAAAACAAAACAAAUGAAACCGGGGGAGGGGAGUCUGGAGAAAACGUGUGGAAAUAUUAAGGAUCUGCUUUGCAUGUGGUCAGCUCCUGAUUCCGUUUAAAGAACGUGUGCCCACCGCGCAGGCUCCCCAGGACAGACUGCCCUGCGUCGCGAAGCGCCGUGCGCUGAAAACCCAGCCGCUCCCGCUAGCCUGGAGCGCGAUAUCUCCCCUGUUCAGUCGCUGUGUUAUCUGUGGCAUGUAUACUAUUAUGGGUGGUAACUGAGAGCACAGAGUGUUUACUAAAGGGCCAUCCUGUGGAAUGUCAUUCCAAGGUUAUGGUUCCACAGCGGCCCUUCAUGCAGCCGUCAGAAAAGCACGUGCAGUACCUGUGCACAAAUGGGCUAAUAACCCUUUCUUUGCUAAACUGCCAUUAACGGUUUGUUUGAAUAUACAUUUUAGAGGAAGUGAUUAUAAUGCUCCCUUUAAAUGCUUUUAAACAGCACAGUGAGGUUAUGCUGGUAAAAGCCAGCCCUUUAGCUUGGCUGUUAGAAAUUAGGUACAUAUUUUGUCACAAAUGGCGUAUAUGCAUUUUUAUGGCAGAAAAAUGAUUUAGCUGUAGUCCCUUUCUCUACAAUAGGCUUGGGUUUUCAAAUGCUCAGACCAGCAAAUGAAUUCACAAAGACAUUGGUGGGUCUGAAAGCUAAUGUGCUGUAGAAGGGGUUUGGGGGGGUUAAUUGCUGUAGUUCUUAUAGCGCAUAUGUAUAUGCCAUAAAUGAACGCCAUCAGGAGAAAACUGCAGAAAUGAAAAAAGGAAGAAAAAUGAAAAUGUAACGAAAUUUAGAAAUUGUCCUGCAACCAUAACUUACCAGAACCAAGCCAAUUUAUGAUUGAUAGCUGCAGGGAAGGGGCUUAUUGGCCAGUUUACAAUGUCAUUAGCUGCUGUGUCUCAGCCUCCACACACUUUAAUGAAUGCAGAAAAUCUGUCAGUUGUAAUCGUGAACUCACAACCCCCCUCUCAUACACACAUACACACACACACACACACACACGUACACACGUACACAACCGAAAAAAACACCACAUAUUUACUGACAUCCACAAGCUGCCAGUACUCUGAUUAAUGGAUGGUCGUCUCCUUGCUUCAUAAGAAAGUUUGUUGGAAAGAAAAAAAUCUGCCCGGUGACCCGGAACUAAUAGCAUUCCACUUGUGCAAGCGAUCGAACUCAAAGUGGCGCAGUUAUUUCCAGCGGUGGGCGAUGGUGAUGGGGCCCUGGAGGCAGGUCUUGGUGAGGCAGGGGCGGCGGGUUAAUAUUUUGACCUUUAGGCCUCUACCCCCAGUGCCCCUUCGCUGACCUUGGACCAGCAGCGCCUGCGACGCAGGACCCGUGCUGACUGCUCGCCACACUGCAGGAUCAGCGUCCGUUUGGACCGUUUGGCAUGGGGCUCCUCAGGCCCAUGGUGACCUCCCAACUGAACGCGGUCCCUUUACCAAAACGGGCUACUGGGUGCUUUGAGAAACCACCUUGUUUGUUGCAAAUCUUAUUUAUUUUCUCUGUUUUAUGACUCUUGGGGCCUACAUACUGUGGCUAAGAUACCUACAGUAUGAGCCCUAAUCUCAGAGGAAGGAUUACUAUUAUAUCUUAGAAUUUUAUGGCACGCAUGAACAUCAAACUUAGAUUUCCUGUAGAAUAAAAUGGAGAAGAUGCUUUUCUCCAAAACAUGGAUGUCUUAUCAAAUGCUGAGCUCACCAUCCUGUGCUAGAAGUGCCCCCCCCCCCCUCGAAUGAGUAAUAGUGACUCUGUCUCCCAUGUCUUAUAAAGAAACAGCAGUAACAGUAGGGGGGAAGAGUCCUUUAUAUCUUUUCAGUGGUGCAGUGCUUAUUUAUACUGUGACGGUUACAUUUAGCUUAAUUGCACUCAAAGACUGUAAAGCAUGAUGAAAAGAUAAAAAAACAAGAAGAGCCUGGUAUCGAUAAAGCACUCUGGCUGGGGGCUAAAUGCUUCGACCCUGAGACGAGUCUUCUGUGGACUAGUACUGCGUUAUAAGAGAACGGCGUCGCACAUCAUGCCAACCGCACUGGAGCCAAAUAGCGCUUUGUAUUUGUGAGCAGUACUGUGGGAAAGUUUAGCCUUCAGUGGCCUGAGAUGACUGCAGAUUGUUUUAUGUGAACACGUACUGGAACGCAAUUAAGGGUGUUGUGCAUACUGGCCUGUAUAUGCUGAUGUAGACAUCACAGUACAUCGCAGUCUCAGACAAAGCCUUUAUCUGAUUGAGGUGCCAGAAUUCAGCUUGCAAGCCCUAGGACUCUCAUCUUCUGUUAUUAUGUAGAGCAGAGACAUUUGAAAUGCCCAUGAAUAUUUAAUUUAAAGUAGGCUUUCUCAGAUUCCUUAUCAGCCAGAAGAAAGAAUCCUGCGUUAUGAGACAUGGAGAUAAUUGGCUACUUAGUUGUCAUGGAAGUGAUUAUGAAUAUCAGUAGGGUCAUAGUAUAUCAAUGGCCAGCUAUCAAGCUAAGGACACACAAAAACAUUUUCCCUGGGGUGUGAUGUAUUCAAUUUCAUGGAUAAAAGCAAGUAGCUACUGGACCAUGAGUAGAUGCAUUUAGAACAAAUGAGCAAAAUGAGCUAUCCCACAGUAUCUGGGCAAACCUGGAGCUGACAUUUCAGGACCCAGGUUAAAGAUGCACAAGAAUAUAUUUCUUUUGUAAAUCAGUUUCCCAGCCUUCUAAAUCCUUUUAUAGUUUAAUGGUGAAAAAUGGCACCACAUUUACAUUUACUAAGACUACGUUGUAUUUACUUUUACUAAGACUAAGGAUUUUACACACCACUCUAUGGAGUAGUAUUUCUGUACACUAUACACAAAUGCAGCCAAUGUACAGCAUGGAUAUGCAUUAAGUUUAAGACAUCCUGUGUAGAGAAUUUCACAGCUAAUAAGCAGAGGUUUGCUGAUACAUCCACAAACAUCCAAUACAUGCAACUUAAAUAUACUAACAUGGUAUACUACAUUAUGUACACUAAGACAGCCGGCACAUCAUAUCCUAUAUACAUUAAUAUAACAUAUCCAGUGUACACAGCAAACUAAAAACGGUCAAUAUGCUACAGCAUUAAUUAGAUUACCACAAGUCUGAACACACUCACUGCUGUUGUCUCAGCCCUGGAAAUACUUGGAUGGGCAUGAAGAAAAAGAUCUCUGCUCAGAAAUUCUCUUGAUGUUGGAAGUCGUGACGCGGGUCUAUUCACAAUGGCCUAUCCUCAGGGGCAAUCAGGCAUUGGGUUGUGAGCUGAUUGCACACAAACACUAUUAAAUUGUCCUUCCUUUUGCCAAAAUUUUAGUAAUAAAUUAAUUGGAAAACAGAGCUCUCAUUCUCUCCCUUUUCUUCUUUUAAAGCUGUGCCUUUUUUGUUGAAACCCCCAUCGCCCAUUAGCUGUAUUUAUAGAACUGGUCUACAGAGAGAGGGGGGGAAGCAGUCGUGCUUGGAAACCGAGGACCCCAUCUGACAUCAGCUCCAGGUCCGGCGAUUUGACUGAAUGGUGAAGAACGAUGCACGUGUGCAUUUAUAUAUGUGCACGUAAUGUGCAGUCGGGGCCUCCGAGUGGAUGUCCAAACUCUAGAAAGCCAUGACCAGGGGGGUUGACUCAGUGUUGACUGGAGAGAGAGUGGGGCCCAAGCACUUCUGAUCCGCCCAUGUCUCCCCCCACCCUCCCCCCACCAGGAGUUCAGAAAACUUCUGUUACUGCCGUAUGCUCUGCACACCUUUUCACCUCCACAUGUAGCCAAGUUGUUCUCUGUAGGUUUGCCAGAGCAUAACAACGUCAAUGAUUUAAAAAAAUCAAUGCACCACAUUUUCAGUGUAACUGGGAGUGCCUGCAUUUCCCUGAACAUGCUAUUUGUGAAACUAGAGGGAGGAUAUUUAUGCAACACGUGCUGUUUUUGUGGCAGUUUUUUUUUUUAACUUAAAUUUACUAUACAACACAAAUCCACUGGUCACAUUGGCUCUUCAGGGUGUCUUUCAGCUUUUGUUUAAAUUAAAAAUCAAUUCUCUGUUUAAAGUCGGUCCAAAGAGCUGAUGUGACCUUUAACCUUUGUGCAAUAAUGCUCAGUUUAUUAGAGGAGAUGGCCUUUGCAGCUACCUUAGGGCCCAGUUAACUGGUUAAGUAGCCAGAGUCAUCUUGGAGAAUAUAGAAUGCGUAUAUGAAUACCUUAGGACUAAUAUCUGACUGCUGAGGGUGAAAAAUUGCUGAUCAGUACAAUAUGUGUGGGAGAUUAAAGAAUAGAUUUGCAAAGGAUAACAGUGCAGAGAGGUAAUGCACACUGGCUUGGUUGUGUUCAAACACGAAUAUUUAGGAAUUUUGUUCCCUUUCAGAAAUGCUUUUAAAUAGGUGUGUUAAUGCGGCAUAUCCCUAUUAAUAUGUGUUUGUCAUGUGCAGGGGCUUUGUUCUCAGGAUCGGAAACGAGGACAGCUGAAACAUAAUGGACCCUAAAGGCACUUGUUCUCUUGUCAUGUAGCGAAGUCCUCUAUCUGUUUCUGCCAGCUGUUUUGUGUUUCUGCGAGUACAUGGGACGCAUGGCGAAGCAGGACACAAUAGCCAACGGUCAUGCCGUUUGUGAUGAUCGAAGGAGCAACGGUGACAGCGGGCGCCGCUCUCCGCGCCGGCCGCUACUGCGGGGCUGGCAAGGGGGCACAGGUCAGCUUGUGCCCCCCUGGCACAGUGGAGGGACGGGCAUCUGUAGUCUCUGUCAUCUGUAUGGGGCUCCUUAAAUUGAAUUAAACCAUCGCUUCAGUACUUUUUUUUUUUUGGUUUUGUUUUUUGUUCAUUGAAGAUUUGCUUUCACUUCUGUUAUCAGCUCCUAAAAUUUGACAGAGGAGCUUAUCCACACUCAUGUGAACAGUCUAGAUAGUUGAGGCACUAUUGGUGAACGCAGGUAAAAAAAAAGUGGAGCAGUGGGCUAAGAUAUAUUCUAAGAUAUAUAUUGAAAAGGUGUAAAUUAGGUAGAAAAGCCAUGAUAAGGAUGCGAAUGAGGGGCCUGCAGGUACCAUGCUGCCCCCUGUCUGUCAGACAGCCCAAUGUGUCUGGAGCCCAUUGCAGUUGGAUUAGGUGCUGGAUUUACCCAACAGCUUCUGAUCUGCUGCUUAUGCCAGUUUUACCAGCUCUUUUAGCUUUUUAGCUCACUGUACCGUGGGCAUCCUGGCGGGGUUGCCAUGGCU